GACCGUGUAGCUCAGUUGGAAGAGCAUUGGGCUGGUAUUCCAAAGGUCGUAGGUUCGAAUCCCACCGUGGCCG